rnacentral:misc_RNA from 1 species
GAUGAAGAACGUAGCGAAAUGCGAUACGUAGUGUGAAUUGCAGAAUCCAGUGAAUCAUCGAAUCUUUGAACGCACAUUGCGCCCGCUAGUAUUCUGGCGGGCAUGCCUGUCCGAGCGUCAUUUCAACCCUCAAGCCCCCGGGCUUGGUGUUGGGGAUCGGCGAGCCUCCGCGCCCGCCGUCCCCUAAAUCUAGUGGCGGUCUCGCUGUAGCUUCCUCUGCGUAGUAGCACACCUCGCACUGGGAAACAGCGCGGCCACGCCGUUAAACCCCCAACUUCUGAACGUUUGACCUCGGAUCAGGUAGGAAUACCCGCUGAACUUAAGCAUAUCAAUAAGCGGAGGA